CUGUGGGGUGUUUGUUUUGAUGGAAAACAUGCAGCAAAUUAGGCGAUGAUGGUGCCUAGUUCUCCUGCAGAACUUUCCCAUGCCGUCUGAAGAAGAGAGGUUGAAAGAUCGAAAAAGGCAGCGAAAACAAAACACACUACAGGAUGAUGUAGAAGACUUCCCCCCCCAAGAAGUCACAGCAUGUCACAUCAGCAUCCAGCUCUGCAGGAUCAGAGGAUACUGGGAACAAAAUGCACGGCGAACUGGGAGCUGUGAACUGGGUAUGUAGUCUA